AGAUUCAUUUAUCAUAGCUUGUUAAAAAAUAUGUACAUGCACAAUUUCAUGCUCCUUAAACUUGUAACCUGAUAUCUUGCAAGAUCAGGAAAUAACAUAUAAAAUUUGUUCUUCUAAUAAAGCUCCUAGUGAGGCUCCUAGUGAGAUGUGUAAAGGAAAUUGAAGCCAUUCAGCUGUAGUAAUAAUUUUAAUUUUAUUCAUAU
rnacentral:lncRNA from 1 species